rnacentral:tRNA from 1 species
GGAGAGGUGUGUGAGUGGUUGAAACAGCAGGUCUCGAAAACCUGUAAACCGCAAGGUUUCGAGGGUUCAAAUCCCUCCCUCUCCGCCA